rnacentral:rRNA from 1 species
UACAGAGGUCUCGAGCGUUAGGCGGAAUCACUGGGCUUAAAGCGUGUGUAGGUGGAUCGUUAAGUACCUUGUGAAAUCCCACGGCUUAACCGUGGAAUUGCUGGGUAUACUGGCGGUCUUGAGCCACUUAGGGGCUACCGGAACAAAUGGUGGAGCGGUGAAAUGCGUAGAUAUCAUUUGGAACGCCAAUGGUGAAAACAGGUAGCUGGGAGUGUGCUGACGCUGAGACACGAAAGCCAGGGGAGCAAACGGG